GGAGGAAGGUGGGGAUGACGUCAAGUCCUCAUGGCCCUUACGGGUAGGGCUACACACGUGCUACAAUGGCGGUGACAAUGGGCAGCGAAGGGGCGACCUGGAGCUAAUCCCCAAAAACCGUCUCAGUUCGGAUUGUACUCUGCAACUCGAGUGCAUGAAGGUGGAAUCGCUAGUAAUCGUAGAUCAGAAUGCUACGGUGAAUACGUUCCCGG
rnacentral:rRNA from 1 species